UGCGUAGGCGGAAUGAUAAGUCAGUGGUGAAAUCUCGGAGCUUAACUCCGAAACUGCCAUUGAUACUGUCAAUCUUGAGUACAUUUGAUGUGGGCGGAAUGUGUCAUGUAGCGGUGAAAUGCUUAGAUAUGACACAGAACACCGAUUGCGAAGGCAGCUCACAAAACUGUAACUGACGCUGAGGCACGAAAGCGUGGGUAUCAAACAGGAUUAGAUACCCUGGUAGUCCACGCUGUAAACUAUGAUUACUCGAUGUUUGCGAUACACAGUAAGCGUCUAAGCGAAAGCGAUAAGUAAUCCACCUGGGGAGUACGCUCGCAAGAGUGAA
rnacentral:rRNA from 1 species